GAGUUUGAUCCUGGCUCAGGACGAACGCUGGCGGCGUGCUUAACACAUGCAAGUCGAACGAUGAAGCGGUGCUUGCACCGUGGAUUAGUGGCGAACGGGUGAGUAACACGUGAGUAACCUGCCCUUCACUCUGGGAUAACUCCGGGAAACCGGUGCUAAUACUGGAUACGACCUCAACCUGCAUGGGUAUGGGGUGGAAAGCUUUUGUGGUGGAGGAUGGACUCGCGGCCUAUCAGCUUGUUGGUGGGGUAAUGGCCCACCAAGGCGACGACGGGUAGCCGGCCUGAGAGGGUGACCGGCCACACUGGGACUGAGACACGGCCCAGACUCCUACGGGAGGCAGCAGUGGGGAAUAUUGCACAAUGGGCGAAAGCCUGAUGCAGCGACGCCGCGUGAGGGAUGACGGCCUUCGGGUUGUAAACCUCUUUCAGCUCUGACGAAGCUUUAUUGUGACGGUAGGAGCAGAAGAAGCACCGGCUAACUACGUGCCAGCAGCCGCGGUAAUACGUAGGGUGCGAGCGUUGUCCGAAAUUAUUGGGCGUAAAGAGCUUGUAGGCGGCUUGUCGCGUCUGCUGUGAAAUCCGGGGGCUCAACCUCGGGCUUGCAGUGGGUACGGGCAGGCUAGAGUAUGGUAGGGGAGACUGGAAUUCCUGGUGUAGCGGUGGAAUGCGCAGAUAUCAGGAGGAACACCGAUGGCGAAGGCAGGUCUCUGGGCCAUCACUGACGCUGAGAAGCGAAAGCGUGGGGAGCGAACAGGAUUAGAUACCCUGGUAGUCCACGCCGUAAACGUUGGGCGCUAGGUGUGGGUUCCAUUCCACGGGGUCCGUGCCGCAGCUAACGCAUUAAGCGCCCCGCCUGGGGAGUACGGCCGCAAGGCUAAAACUCAAAGGAAUUGACGG
rnacentral:rRNA from 1 species